AGAUGCUGUCGGGCCGCGGCGGCGCUUGGCAGCCAGGAGCUCUGCAUUGAAGGCACUGGGGUAAAGUGAAUGCCGAAGACAGAAGAUUUGGAUGAUACACCACUGACUUUCUUUGUUUGGAAUACACGUUAUGAACCCUUUCUGGAGCAUGUCUACAAGCUCUGUACGCAAAGUAGCGAUCUGAAGGUGAAGAGAAGACAUUAACAGGGGACGUGAAAACCAGUCCUCCACGAACUGCACCAAAGAAACAGCUGCCUUCUAUUCCCAAAAAUGCUUUGCCCAUAACUAAGCCUACAUCUCCUGCCCCAGCAGCACAGUCAACAAAUGGCACGCAUGCGUCCUAUGGACCCUUCUACCUGGAAUACUCUCUUCUUGCAGAAUUUACCUUGGUUGUGAAGCAGAAGCUACCAGGCGUCUAUGUGCAGCCAUCUUAUCGCUCUGCAUUAAUGUGGUUUGGAGUAAUAUUCAUACGGCAUGGACUUUACCAAGAUGGCGUAUUUAAGUUUACAGUUUACA
rnacentral:lncRNA from 1 species